rnacentral:rRNA from 1 species
AUUGAACGCUGGCGGCAUGCUUUACACAUGCAAGUCGAACGGUAACAGUUUAAGCUGACGAGUGGCGAACGGGUGAGUAAUGCAUCGGAACGUGCCAGGACGUGGGGGAUAACGCAGCGAACGUUACGCUAUUACCGCAUGCGAUCGGAGGGAGAAACCGAGGGACCGUAAGGCCUCGAGCGAUCGGAGCGGACGGUGUCAGAUUAGGUAGUUGGUGGGGUAAAGGCUCACCAAGCCAACGAUCUGUAGCUGGUCUGAGAGGACGACCAGCCACACUGGGACUGAGACACGGCCCAGAAUCCUACGGGAGGCAGCAGUGGGGAAUUUUGGACAAUGGGCGAAAGCCUGAUCCAGCAAUGCCGCGUGCAGGAAGAAGGCCUUCGGGUUGUAAACUGCUUUUGUACGGAGCGAAAAGGUCUCCUCUAAUACAGGGGGCUCAUGACGGUACCGUAAGAAUAAGCACCGGCUAACUACGUGCCAGCCGCCGCCGUAA